GCUGGGCGUGGUGGUGCACGCCUGUGGUCUCAGCUACUCGGGAGGCUGAGGCAGGAGAAUUGCUUGAACCCAGGAGGCAGAGGCUGCAGUGAGCCGAGAUCAUGCCACUGCACUCCAGCCUGGGUGACAGAGCAAGACUCAGUCUCAA
rnacentral:SRP_RNA from 2 species